rnacentral:rRNA from 1 species
AGCGAACGCUGGCGGAAUGCCUAACACAUGCAAGUCGCGCGGUCGGCAACGGCAGCGGCGGACGGGUGCGCAACGCGUAGGAACGUGCCCUGGGGUGGGGGACAACGCCGGGAAACUGGCGCUAAUACCGCAUGCGGCCUGAGGGCCAAAGCCGCGAGGCGCCCUGGGAGCGGCCUGCGUCCGAUUAGCUUGUUGGGGGGGUAACGGCCCACCAAGGCGACGAUCGGUAGCUGGUCUGAGAGGAUGAUCAGCCACACUGGGACUGAGACACGGCCCAGACUCCUACGGGAGGCAGCAGUGGGGAAUAUUGGACAAUGGGCGCAAGCCUGAUCCAGCAAUUCCGCGUGGGUGAAGAA